rnacentral:rRNA from 1 species
UACGUAGGGUGCAAGCGUUAAUCGGAAUUACUGGGCGUAAAGCGUACGCAGGCGGCUUUGCAAGACAGGUGUGAAAUCCCCGGGCCUAACCUGGGAACUGCAUUUGUGACUGCAUCGCUGGAGUGCGGCAGAGGGGGAUGGAAUUCCGCGUGUAGCAGUGAAAUGCGUAGAUAUGCGGAGGAACACCGAUGGCGAAGGCAAUCCCCUGGGCCUGCACUGACGCUCAUGCACGAAAGCGUGGGGAGCAAACAGG